rnacentral:rRNA from 1 species
AUUGAACGCUGGCGGCAGGCCUAACACAUGCAAGUCGAGAGAGCGGCGGACGGGUGAGUAAUGUAUGGGGACUGCCCGAACGAGGGGGAUAACUACUGGAAACGGUGGCUAAUACCGCCUACUGUCGGAUCACCAAUAUGGGAUUAGCUAGUAGGUAAGGUAAUGGCUUACCUAGGCGCCGAUCCCUAGAUGGUCUGCGAGGAUGAUCAGCCACACUGGGACUGAGACACGGCCCAGACUCCUACGGAGGCAGCAGUGGGGAAUAUUGCACAAUGGGCGCAAGCCGGAUGCAGCCAUGCCGCGUGUAUGAAGAAGGCCCUAGGGUUGUAAAGUACUUUCAGUCGGGAGGCGUUACCGACAGAAGAAGCACCGGCUAACUCCGUGCCAGCAGCCGCGGUAAUUC